rnacentral:rRNA from 1 species
UACAGAGGGGCAAGCGUUGUUCGGAAUUACUGGGCGUAAAGGGCGCGUAGGCGCCUUCUAAGUCGAACGUGAAAUCCCCGGGCUCAACCCGGGAACUGCGUCCGAUACUGGAAGGCUUGAAUCCGGGAGAGGGAUGUGGAAUUCCAGGUGUAGCGGUGAAAUGCGUAGAUAUCUGGAGGAACACCGGUGGCGAAGGCGACAUCCUGGACCGGUAUGACG